rnacentral:rRNA from 1 species
UACAGAGGGUGCAAGCGUUAAUCGGAAUUACUGGGCGUAAAGCGUGCGCAGGCGGUGAUGUAAGACAGGUGUGAAAUCCCCGGGCUUAACCUGGGAACUGCAUUUGUGACUGCAUUGCUGGAGUGCGGCAGAGGGGGAUGGAAUUCCGCGUGUAGCAGUGAAAUGCGUAGAUAUGCGGAGGAACACCGAUGGCGAAGGCAAUCCCCUGGGCCUGCACUGACGCUCAUGCACGAAAGCGUGGGGAGCAAACAGG